CCUUGCUCCCCGGGACGGCCAGCCUCGUUUCAGGGUGACUUUUACCCUCCUCUUCCUUCCCUGGGCUCUCGGCCCGAGAACCAGCGCCUUGAAGCUGGGCCGCCGGUGGGAUGGCCGCGGGGUCGCGGAGGGGCUCCCCGGGCCGUGCCCACCUGGCCACCGCUCUCGGCCCGAGGCAGCCUCGGUAGCGCCGCUUGCCGCGUGGGGGGAGCGGCUGGGGGGAGGGUGCUGCGGGGGGGGGGGGGCGGGCAGCGCCGCCCCUCGCGCCUCCACGCCGCGCGCAUCCCGGGCUGGACGCGAGGGACGCCGGGCCUGCGAGUCUGCAGGGCCCGGGUUCGGUUCCGCGCCCUGCCUGUGAGCCGCGACACGUCGGGCCCUCCCUGCAGCACCCCGGGCUCGUUCUCCCGGCCGAGGGGAAGCCGCAGUCAGCCGUUUAGGCCGAAGCGCCCUGCGGAGUCGGGCCCAGGGAGCGGCGCUGGGCGGGCCGUCGGGGGAGGGGGCCGGCGAGUGGCGCCCCAGGCGGGGUGGCCGGGGAGGAGGGCGCGGGGGGGGCGUGCGGGGCGGGGGAGAGGAAAGAGCCCCACCAUUCCAGUCCCCCGCACCCCCCUUGCCUCCCCUCCCCCUUCGCAUCCCCUCCCCCUUCGUACCCCCUUCCCCGCCCCAUCACAUCCCCUCCCCCACCCCGUCGCAUCCCCUCCCCCGCCCUAUCACAUCCCCUCCCCCGCCCCCCAUCGCCUCCUCUCCCUCCACCCCAUCGCCUCCCCUUCCCCCACCCCACCGCCUCCCCUCCCUCCACCCCCACCGCCACAUCGCAUCCCCUCCCCCACCCCGUCGCAUCCCCUUCCCCCAAGGCCGCGGCCCGGCGCCCUUGACCUCGCCCUGCCGCGAGCUCUGCUUCCCGCGGCAAGGCGAGCGUCUGGGUGCGCUUCCGAGGCUCCCUCCCCAUCUGAAUCCCGUGGAACUUUCGCUUCCAGCCGGGAGAAGAAAUUAAUAAUUAACCGCCGGGUUAACGGGGACGGCUGGGGCGCGGGUGACCCGGGGGGCAAGAGGGGCGCGGGCCGCCGUCGGCGGGGUCCCGUGGCUCCGCGCUGUGCUCGGCCUCCGCGGCCCGGGCCCCCCCGCCCGCAUCCUGGGCUGGGCCCCCCACCCGCCCCCACCCGCCCCCACCCGCCCCCUCGCCCUGCGGCUCCCCGCCGGCAGGGGGCGCCCGCCUGGACUGGACGGGCCCGGGAGCGGGGUGACCGUGACCGGGGAGGUGGCGCCUCCGCACAGAGCCUGACCCCUCCCGGCCGCGAUGACCUAUCCCCCAACAUCCCACCCCUGCCCGCGACAGGCCCCGUUUCCAAAAGGGGCCUGCGAGGUUAUUCAGGGAGCCGAGGUCAGCCCCUUGCCCAGCCCUGA
rnacentral:lncRNA from 1 species